GUACGUUUAUGGCACAACUGCUGAAAAGUGAGGAUGAGGAAGAGGAGGGGGAUGGGGGGGGGGCGUCAUUCAUCUUAUUGGGCACAUUAAGAUAAUCAGCCUGGCCAUUCAAGCCCUCCAGUUUGACAAUGUUAGCAUGCUAAGUUAGCAUCAGCUACAUUUUGUUGUUGUUGUUGUCACUUUCUUGUUUCAACUUCAAAUGAACUGAAAUCAACAUGGACCCAAACGCUACUUGACAAAAUUCUAAACUUAAACACACACACAACAAUUUCAGAGGAAAAACAAACAAACAUAAAUACACGGCCCUGUUAUUAAAAAAAAAAAAAUCAUUUGUACACACUUGAUAUUGCUUUUAUCUUACAUCAUCAUCAUCAUAUUAAUAAUGAUAAUAACAAUAAUACUGAGAUUCCACGCCAAAGUAUUCCUUUUUUUUUUGGCCUUUAUGUCAAGGAGGCACAGCAGCAAAUACAGUGGCAUGAGGUGGGGGGGGG